rnacentral:lncRNA from 1 species
CUCCGAAGCCCCGAUCAAAUGAUUCACGAAAUGCGAUUCAGAGUCCCGAUCUGAAUCAAAUGUUUUGCGAACUCGCUCUGAAGCCCCGAUCAAAUGAUUGGGGAAGCGCACUUCGGAGUCCCGAUCUGAAUAAAAUGUUUUGGAUCCGCCUUCAAGUCGCCAAACCCCUGUGACUGUCAAAUUCGUUUAGGUGCCGCCCAGAGGAUCAGCUCCGCGGGCGGCGCCGUCAAACAGCUGAUCCUGAGCGGACCUAUGGCGUGCAUCAGUCCAGAAUUUCUUUGCUGGGACACGGUUGCGCUGAACCCUCUUUUGAGACUGCCUCUGCAUAGGGCCCGGGAUCUUGUGCGGCCCCCUGGGGACGUCCCCUGUUUGCUGGGUACGGUGAGAGGAGGAGGCGACAAUAACUGUUUGCGUGGAAAAGUUGCGGAGACGUUAAAUCACGCGUCAAAACGGGAUGUUUGUGUUGCAGAGCAGUAAAUGUGGAGAUGGUACAGGAGCACGAUUACAACAGCCGUCCAGUCCCAGUGCUCUUG